AAUCCCGUGAACCAUCGAGUCUUUGAACGCAAGUUGCGCCCGAAGCCUUCGGGCCGAGGGCACGCCUGCCUGGGCGUCACGCAUCGCGUCGCCCCCCUCCCCCGCCCCCCCGGGGCGCGGGCGGAGGGGCCGAGCGGAGAAUGGCCUCCCGUGCGCCCCGGCGCGCGGCCGGCCC
rnacentral:rRNA from 1 species